GCCAUGAACCAGAGGAGAGUUGUCUUUACUCUGAUGUGAAUAUAGGAACUGCAGAUGAUAAUGUGACGUAUGCCCAAGUCACCCAGCACAACAAAGGUAAAGCCAAGAAAAACAAAGGAAAAUCAACUGUGCCAGCAACUGAUGAAGCUGUUUAUUCUG